rnacentral:lncRNA from 1 species
GCGGCCGCCCUCGCGCUGCUCCGUUCUGCUCUUCCCCGGUCAGGGCAGCCAGGCGGUCGGCAUGGGUGGCGGCCUGCUCCACUUCCCGCGUGUACGGCAGCUCUACGAGGCCGCGCACCGAGUGCUUGGCUACGAUCUGCUGGAACUGUGCCUGCGGGGACCUCAGGAGGAUCUGGACCGCACAGUGCAUUGCCAACCCGCUGUCUUCGUGGCUUCACUGGCCGCCGUGGAGAAGCUACAUCACCUGCAACCGGCGGUCAUCGAGAACUGUGUUGCUGCCGCUGGAUUCAGCGUGGGGGAGUUUGCAGCCCUUGUGUUUGCUGGAGCCAUGGAGUUUGCGGAAGGCCCUUCAGUUUCUCCGGAAGAAUUCCGCUAAGUUUCACUUCAGGCGCACCAAGAUGCUACCUGUAAGUGGUGGCUUCCAUACCUGCCUCAUGGAGCCAGCUGUGGAGCCUCUGAUGAAAACUCUAGGCUCAAUCAACAUC